rnacentral:rRNA from 1 species
CCUACGGGUGGCAGCAGUGAGGAAUAUUGGUCAAUGGCCGUAAGGCUGAACCAGCCAAGUAGCGUGAGGGAAGACUGCCCUAUGGGUUGUAAACCUCUUUUAUGCGGGGAUAAAGGUGUCCACGUGUGGAUUUUUGCAUGUACCUCAUGAAUAAGGACCGGCUAAUUCCGUGCCAGCAGCCGCGGUAAUACGGAAGGUCCGGGCGUUAUCCGGAUUUAUUGGGUUUAAAGGGAGCGUAGAUGGGUUGUUAAGUCAGUUGUGAAAGUUUGCGGCUCAACCGUAAAAUUGCAAUUGAUACUGGCAGCCUUGAGUACAGUUGAGGUAGGCGGAAUUCGUGGUGUAGCGGUGAAAUGCUUAGAUAUCACGAAGAACUCCGAUUGCGAAGGCAGCUUACUAAACUGCCACUGACAUUGAUGCUCGAAAGUGUGGGUAUCAAACAGGAUUAGAUACCCUAGUAGUC